GGGCGAUUAGCUCAGCUGGUUUAGAGCGCCUCCCUUACAAGGAGGAAGUCGCAGGUUCGACUCCUGCAUCGCCCACCA
rnacentral:tRNA from 1 species